UACGUAGGGACCAAGCGUUGCUCGGAUUUACUGGGCGUAAAGGGCGCGUAGGCGGCGUGUUAAGUCAGCUGUGAAAUCUCCGAGCUUAACUCAGAACGGCCAAGUGAUACUGCAGUGCUAGAGUGCAGAAGGGGCAAUCGGAAUUCUUGGUGUAGCGGUGAAAUGCGUAGAUAUCAAGAGGAACACCUGAGGUGAAGACGGGUUGCUGGGCUGACACUGACGCUGAGGCGCGAAAGCCAGGGGAGCAAACGGG
rnacentral:rRNA from 1 species